rnacentral:rRNA from 1 species
GCCUACGGGGGGCAGCAGUAGGGAAUAUUGCUCAAUGGGGGAAACCCUGAAGCAGCAACGCCGCGUGGAGGAUGAAGGUUUUCGGAUUGUAAACUCCUUUUGUUAGAGAAGAUAGUGACGGUAUCUAACGAAUAAGCACCGGCUAACUCCGUGCCAGCAGCCGCGGUAAUACGGAGGGUGCAAGCGUUACUCGGAAUCACUGGGCGUAAAGAGCGCGUAGGCGGGAUAGCAAGUCAGAUGUGAAAUCCUAUGGCUUAACCAUAGAACUGCAUUUGAAACUGUUAUUCUAGAGUAUGGGAGAGGUG